rnacentral:rRNA from 1 species
UGGAGCAUGUGGCUUAAUUUGACUCAACGCGGGAAAUCUUACCGGGUCCGGACACACUGAGGAUUGACAGACAUUUAUAUGCGCAAGUAUAUAUUUAAAGAUGCUAGUUCUUUCAUGAUUAUGUGAUAGGUGGUGCAUGGCCGUUCUUAGUUCGUGGAGUGAUCUGUCUGCUUAAUUGCGUUUCAUAUUAUUAUAUAAUAUACACACAUCACGUGUGUUAUAUUAUUACUUUGAAAGCAACGAACGUGACCGUAGCCUUUUAUUAUAUACGCUACACGUAUAUUAAUUAAAGGGACCGCUGUAUCUUUCUUUAAACCAGAGUAAGGUUACGGCAAUAACAGGUCUGUGAUGCCCUUCGAUGUUCCGGGCUGCACACGUGCUACAAUGAUUAUUUCAUUAAGUAUCUACUGUGCAAUAAUAUAUUAUUAUUAUUCAAAAACCUACUCUGAGAAUGAGCGGGUAAUCAAUUAGAAGUAAUGAUUUCCAAAUUUAUACACUCAUGUACCGUAUAUAUUAUCCCAUAUUUUAAUUAAUAUGCGUGUAUAAUAUUGUACGCUGUACGUAUAUUUAUUAAUUCAUGGUGGGGAUAGACUAUUGUUAAUUGUUGGUCUCGGUCUUAACUAGGAAUGCCUUGUACGGGUCAUUGGUUCAACAGACUACCCGGAAUACGUCCCUGCCCUAUGUACACACCGCCCGUCGCUCUUACCGAUGAACUUCGCUAUGAAUCUAUUGGACUGUACCAUUGUGGUAUGGAAAGAUAUAUGAAUAGUGUGGUUUAAAGGAAAGAGAAGUCGAACAAGGCA